rnacentral:rRNA from 1 species
UGGGGAAUAUUGCACAAUGGGCGCAAGCCUGAUGCAGCCAUGCCGCGUGUGUGAAGAAGGCCUUCGGGUUGUAAAGCACUUUCAGCGGGGAGGAAGGCGUUAAGGUUAAUAACCUUGGCGAUUGACGUUACCCGCAGAAGAAGCACCGGCUAACUCCGUGCCAGCAGCCGCGGUAAUACGGAGGGUGCAAGCGUUAAUCGGAAUUACUGGGCGUAAAGCGCACGCAGGCGGUCUGUCAAGUCGGAUGUGAAAUCCCCGGGCUCAACCUGGGAACUGCAUUCGAAACUGGCAGGCUAGAGUCUUGUAGAGGGGGGUAGAAUGCCAGGUGUAGCGGUGAAAUGCGUAGAGAUCUGGAGGAAUACCGGUGGCGAAGGCGGCCCCCUGGACAAAGACUGACGCUCAGGCGCGAAAGCGUGGGGAGCAAACAGG